rnacentral:rRNA from 1 species
AAUACCGCAUACGACCUACGGGAGAAAGGGGGCAACUUGUUGCUCUCGCUAUUAGAUGAGCCUAAGUCGGAUUAGCUAGAUGGUGGGGUAAAGGCCUACCAUGGCGACGAUCUGUAGCUGGUCUGAGAGGAUGAUCAGCCACACCGGGAGUGAGACACGGCCCGGACUCCUACGGGAGGCAGCAGUGGGGAAUAUUGGACAAUGGGGGCAACCCUGAUCCAAACAGGCCGCGUGUGUGAAGAAGGCCUUUUGGUG